AGUGAACGCUGGCGGUAGGCCUAACACAUGCAAGUCGAACGGCAGCACAGUAAGAGCUUGCUCUUAAGGGUGGCGAGUGGCGGACGGGUGAGGAAUACAUCGGAAUCUACUUUUUCGUGGGGGAUAACGUAGGGAAACUUACGCUAAUACCGCAUACGACCUACGGGUGAAAGCAGGGGAUCUUCGGACCUUGCGCGAUUGAACGAGCCGAUGUCGGAUUAGCUAGUUGGCGGGGUAAAGGCCCACCAAGGCGACGAUCCGUAGCUGGUCUGAGAGGAUGAUCAGCCACACUGGAACUGAGACACGGCCCAGACUCCUACGGGAGGCAGCAGUGGGGAAUAUUGGACAAUGGGCGCAAGCCUGAUCCAGCCAUACCGCGUGGGUGAAGAAGGCCUUCGGGUUGUAAAGCCCUUUUGUUGGGAAAGAAAAGCAGCAGGUUAAUACCCCGCUGUUCUGACGGUACCCAAAGAAUAAGCACCGGCUAACUUCGUG
rnacentral:rRNA from 1 species